ACCAGUGUUAUUGUUCAGAAAAAGUUCUCUUAUUUGUUUAACUACUUUGUUUGUUUGUUUGUUCAACAGAUUGGGUGGCCAGCUUCUGUGCAGAAAAAGGGAAAGCACUGACACACUCAACUGAAGAAGUUGUCUUGUGAUGAAACAGCACAUUUCAGUGACCGAUGACAGCAUGGAGAACUAUAAAACAUGAGUUUAAAGAGAAAGGAGCUGCUACAGUGAGAGGCUGCACAGACUUAGGGCUGCUGAAUUGAUAAGUCUGAAGGAUAACAGGCCUGGACAGAGUGACUUUGAGUUACACUUCUAUAUGCUCUUCAAGGGGGUUAAAUUCAUUUAGAAAUACAUGAUUUGGGUCAAAAUGGUGAAAUACGCAUUGAAUUGUAUUUUCUUUCUCAAUUUGCAAAGACUGAUGAGAUCAUCUCAGUGUUGACUGGCUGUGAAACAGGCAAGAAAAUGAAAACAAAAGUCAAGUUUAUAGGAGAUUUAUGAUUUCAGAAGUAAUUAUAAGGAAUAGUACUAAGAGCAUCUAAAACAAUGUAACUGAAUUAUCUAAAGAGAUAUGUAUGUAUAGGAAUCCUGUCAAAAGUAGCUAAGAUCAGCAGACAUGUGUUGUUGAAUAAUC
rnacentral:lncRNA from 1 species